AACGAACGCUGGCGGCAGGCUUAACACAUGCAAGUCGAGCGCCCCGCAAGGGGAGCGGCAGACGGGUGAGUAACGCGUGGGAAUCUACCCAUCUCUACGGAAUAACGCAUGGAAACGUGUGCUAAUACCGUAUACGUCCUUCGGGAGAAAGAUUUAUCGGAGAUGGAUGAGCCCGCGUUGGAUUAGCUAGUUGGUGGGGUAAAGGCCUACCAAGGCGACGAUCCAUAGCUGGUCUGAGAGGAUGAUCAGCCACACUGGGACUGAGACACAGCCCAGACUCCUACGGGAGGCAGCAGCGGGGAAUAUUGGACGCUGGGCGCAAGCCUGAUCCAGCCAUGCCGCGUGAGUGAUGAAGGCCCUAGGGUUGUAAAGCUCUUUCACCGGUGAAGAUAAUGACGGUAACCGGAGAAGAAGCCCCGGCUAACUUCGUGCCAGCCGCCGCUGUAAAAC
rnacentral:rRNA from 1 species